CUACGGGAGGCAGCAGUGGGGAAUAUUGCACAAUGGGGGAAACCCUGAUGCAGCCAUGCCGCGUGUAUGAAGAAGGCCUUCGGGUUGUAAAGUACUUUCAGCAGUGAGGAAGGGUGAUAAAUUAAUACUUUAUCAUUUUGACGUUAGCUGCAGAAGAAGCACCGGCUAACUCCGUGCCAGCAGCCGCGGUAAUACGGAGGGUGCGAGCGUUAAUCGGAAUUACUGGGCGUAAAGCGCAUGCAGGUGGUCUGUUAAGUCAGAUGUGAAAGCCCGGGGCUUAACCCCGGAAUCGCAUUUGAAACUGGCAGGCUAGAGUACUGUAGAGGGGGGUAGAAUUUCAGGUGUAGCGGUGAAAUGCGUAGAGAUCUGAAGGAAUACCGGUGGCGAAGGCGGCCCCCUGGACAGAUACUGACACUCAGGUGCGAAAGCGUGGGGAGCAAACAGGAUUAGAUACCCCCGUAGUC
rnacentral:rRNA from 1 species